rnacentral:rRNA from 1 species
UACGUAGGUGGCAAGCGUUGUCCGGAUUUCUUGGGUUUAAAGGGUGCGUAGGCGGUCAAAUAAGUCAGUUGUGAAAUACGGCAGCUCAACUGUCGAGGUGCAAUUGAUACUGUUUGACUUGAGUAUUGUUGAGGUAGGCGGAAUGGACGGUGUAGCGGUGAAAUGCUUAGAGAUCGUCCAGAACACCGAUAGCGAAGGCAGCUUACUAAAGAAUAACUGACGCUGAGGCACGAAAGUGUGGGGAUCAAACAGG